rnacentral:tRNA from 1 species
AAACUUUGUAAUUCCUGCUUGUACCUUUAAUUGACGUAGACCCCAGUCAUCUAA